rnacentral:rRNA from 1 species
UACGAAGGGGGCUAGCGUUGUUCGGAAUCACUGGGCGUAAAGCGCACGUAGGCGGGUUUGUCAGUCAGGGGUGAAAUCCCGGAGCUCAACUCCGGAACUGCCCUUGAUACAGCAAGCCUUGAGUCCGGAAGAGGUAGGUGGAAUUCCUAGUGUAGAGGUGAAAUUCGUAGAUAUUAGGAAGAACACCAGUGGCGAAGGCGGCCUACUGGUCCGGCACUGACGCUGAGGUGCGAAAGCGUGGGGAGCAAACCGG